rnacentral:rRNA from 1 species
ACUCCUACGGGAGGCAGCAGUGAGGAAUAUUGGUCAAUGGGCGCAAGCCUGAACCAGCCAUGUCGCGUGCAGGAAGACUGCCCUAUGGGUUGUAAACUGCUUUUAUAUGGGAAGAAUGUGAGCUACGAGUAGCUUUUGCCGGUACCAUAUGAAUAAGCAUCGGCUAACUCCGUGCCAGCAGCCGCGGUAAUACGGAGGAUGCAAGCGUUAUCCGGAUUCAUUGGGUUUAAAGGUGCGUAGGCGGAAUAGUAAGUCAGGGGUGAAAGUUUGCGGCUCAACCGUAAAUUGCCUUUGAUACUGUUAUUCUUGAGUACAUUUGAGGUAGCGGAAUGUGUUGUGUAGCGGUGAAAUGCUUAGAUAUAACACAGAACACCGAUUGCGAAGGCAGCUUACUAAACUGUAACUGACGCUGAUGCACGAAAGCGUGGGAUCGAACAGG